rnacentral:rRNA from 1 species
GAUGAACGCUGGCGGCGUGCCUAAUACAUGCAAGUCGAGCGAACAGACGAGGAGCUUGCUCCUCUUGCGUUAGCUGCGAACGGGUGAGUAACGCGUAGGUAACCUGCCUUUUAGACGGGGAUAACUUCGGGAAACCGUAGCUAAUACCGGAUAAUAUAUGAAACCGCAUGGUUUAAUAGUGAAAGGCGGUUUUGCUCUCACUUAUAGAGGAAUCCCCGCGGCAUUGUCUAGUGGUGAAGGUAACGGCUUACCAAGGCAACGAUGCGUAGCCGACUUGAGAGGGGGAUAGGCACAACUGGACCUGAGCACCGGCCCAGACCCCUCCGGGAGCAAGCAGAAGGGAAUCUUGCGCAAUGGGGGAAAGCUUGCCGGAGAAACGCCGCGUAGGUGAUGAGGGUCUUCGGAUCGUAAACCCCGGUUAUUAGGGAAGAACAAAUGUGUAAGUAAAUAUGCACGUCUUGACGGUACCUAAUCAGAAAGCCACGGCUAACUACGUG